rnacentral:rRNA from 1 species
GUGCCAGCAGCCGCGGUAAUACGGGGGGUGCUAGCGUUAUUCGGAAUUACUGGGCGUAAAGAGCGCGUAGGCGGUACCUUAAGUCAGAUGUGAAAGCCCGGGGCUUAACCCCGGAAGUGCAUUUGAAACUAAGGUGCUUGAGUACGGGAGAGGGAAGUGGAAUUCCUGGUGUAGCGGUGAAAUGCGUAGAUAUCAGGAGGAACACCGGUGGCGAAGGCGACUUCCUGGACCGUUACUGACGCUGAGGCGCGAAGGCGUGGGGAGCAAACAGGAUUAGAUACCCUGGUAGUCCACGCAGUAAACGGUG